rnacentral:rRNA from 1 species
CCUACGGGGGGCAGCAGUGAGGAAUAUUGGUCAAUGGGCGCGAGCCUGAACCAGCCAAGUCGCGUGAGGGAAGACGGUCCUAUGGAUUGUAAACCUCUUUUGUCGGGGAGCAAAAGACGCCACGCGUGGCGUUCCGAGAGUACCCGAAGAAAAAGCAUCGGCUAACUCCGUGCCAGCAGCCGCGGUAAUACGGAGGAUGCGAGCGUUAUCCGGAUUUAUUGGGUUUAAAGGGUGCGCAGGCGGAAGAUCAAGUCAGUGGUAAAAUUGAGAGGCUCAACCUCUUCGAGCCGUUGAAACUGGUUGUCUUGAGUGAGCGAGAGGUAUGCGGAAUGCGUGGUGUAGCGGUGAAAUGCAUAGAUAUCACGCAGAACUCCGAUUGCGAAGGCAGCAUACCGGCGCUCAACUGACGCUCAUGCACGAAAGUGUGGGUAUCGAACAGGAUUAGAUACCCUGGUAGUC